rnacentral:rRNA from 1 species
AGAGUUUGAUCAUGGCUCAGGAUGAACGCUAGCUACAGGCUUAACACAUGCAAGUCGAGGGGAAACGACAUCGAAAGCUUGCUUUUGAUGGGCGUCGACCGGCGCACGGGUGAGUAACGCGUAUCCAACCUGCCCACCACUUGGGGAUAACCUUGCGAAAGUAAGACUAAUACCCAAUGACGUCUCUAGAAGACAUCUGAAAGAGAUUAAAGAUUUAUCGGUGAUGGAUGGGGAUGCGUCUGAUUAGCUUGUUGGCGGGUAACGCCGCAAGGCUACGAUCAGUAGGGGUUCUGAGAGGAAGGUCCCCCANAUUGGAACUGAGACACGGUCCAAACUCCUACAGGAGGCA